AUUUGCAAGAAAUUUCAGGUUCCGUGUCCUGUGGAAGCUGCUUUGAUAAUUAACGAAACAAUAAACACCACCUUAACACAGCCAACAGCUCUUGUACCUGCUUUGUCACAUAACGUGACUGAAAAUGACUCUUGCAGACCUCACUAUUUUAUUUUCAACUCACAGACUGUCUAUGCUGUGCCAAUUCUGAUCUUUUCAUUUGUCUGUCAUCCUGCUGUUCUUCCCAUCUAUGAAGAACUGAAAGACCGCAGCCGUAGAAGAAUGAUGAAUGUGUCCAAGAUUUCAUUUUUUGCUAUGUUUCUCAUGUAUCUGCUUGCCGCCCUCUUUGGAUACCUAACAUUUUACGAUCCGGAGUUCUGUAACUCACUUGUUGUGUGCGUCAAAAGAUUUCAGUUGGUGGCGUCAUAGUCUCAUUACAGUGUCUAUCUUGGCAUUUACCAAUUUACUUGUCAUCUUUGUCCCAACUAUUAGGGAUAUCUUUGGUUUUAUUGGUGCAUCUGCAGCUUCUAUGUUGAUUUUUAUUCUUCCUUCUGCCUUCUAUAUCAAGUUGGUGAAGAAAGAACCUAUGAAAUCUGUACAAAAG
rnacentral:sRNA from 1 species